rnacentral:rRNA from 1 species
UACGAAGGGGGCUAGCGUUGCUCGGAAUUACUGGGCGUAAAGGGCGCGUGAGGCGGCACUGUUAGUCAGGCGUCGAAAUUCCUGGGGCUCAACCUGGGGACUGCGCUUGAUACGGCAGAGCUUGAGGAUGGAAGAGGGUCGCGGAAUUCCCAGUGUAGAGGUGAAAUUCGUAGAUAUUGGGAAGGAACACCGGUGGCCGAAGGCGGCGACCUGGUCCAUUACUGACGCUGAGGCGCGGACAGCGGUGGGGAGCAAACACGGAUUGA